rnacentral:rRNA from 1 species
AAAGAAAAUGAAAGUUGACUUACAACAAUGGCUUUAGUGGCGGACUGGUGAGUAACACGUAAGCAACCUGCCUAUCAGAGGGGAACAACAGUUAGAAAUGACUGCUAAUACCGCAUAUGCCUAAGUACCACAUGGUACAAUAGGGAAAGGAGCAAUCUGCUGAUAGAUGGGCUUGCGUCUGAUUAGAUAGUUGGUGGGGUAACGGCCUACCAAGUCAACGAUCAGUAGCCGGACUGAGAGGUUGAACGGCCACAUUGGGACUGAGAUACGGCCCAGACUCCUACGGGAGGCAGCAGUCGGGAAUAUUGCGCAAUGGAGGAAACUCUGACGCAGUGACGCCGCGUGCAGGAAGAAGGUUUCGGAUUGUAAACUGCUUUAGACAGGGAAGAAUAAAGACAGUACCUGUAGAAUAAGCUCCGGCUAACUACGUGCC